rnacentral:rRNA from 1 species
CCUACGGGAGGCAGCAGUGAGGAAUAUUGGGCAAUGGGCGCGAGCCUGAACCAGCGAAGUAGCGUGAAGGAUGACUGCCCUACGGGUGGUAAACUUCUUUUAUAAAGGAAUAAAGUGAGGCACGUGUGCCUUUUUGUAUGUACGUUAUGAAUAAGGAUAGGAUAACUCCGUGCCAGGAGCGGCGGUAAUACGGAGGGUACGAGCGUUAUCCGGAUUGAUUGGGUUUAAAGGGAGCGUAGAUGGGUUGUUAAGUCAGUUGUGAAAGUUUGCGGCUCAACCGUAAAAUUGCAAUUGAUACUGGCAGUCUUGAGUACAGUUGAGGUAGGCGGAAUUCGUGGUGUAGCGGUGAAAUGCUUAGAUAUCACGAAGAACUCCGAUUGCGAAGGCAGCUUACUAAACUGCCACUGACAUUGAUGCUCGAAAGUGUGGGUAUCAAACAGGAUUAGAUACCCCUGUAGUC